rnacentral:pre_miRNA from 1 species
AUUCUAGUAUUGACAUCAAUCCACAUGUGUUGAGGUGGAUUGGUGUGUAAAUUAGUUUAAGUUACAUUUAAAUCCAGCUCAAUACAUGUGGAUUGUGGUCAAUACUAGA